UUGUUCUUUCUAGAACAAAACUCAUACUUGAUUUCUGUGAUGUCCUUAAAGUUGGCAUACCACAGUUAACACUAAUUGGUAACUUCAUGGGAAGGUGCCUACAUGGUUUGCCCAUUUCACUAUGAAAUUGGUCACAUAUAGUCUGUGUCCACACAUGUAUAGCCCCAUGUACCAGCUAAAAUGCCAGCAUCAAUUGCUUGAGAACAGCUCUGUAUGCAUCCAUAUGCAUGUAGCUGUAAGAAUGGAAAUGUUGUAGAGGUAUCAGGUAAUAAAAGCCUCUUUGUAUGCAAUAUUAUUUCCAUUGUCUUUAAUGUUUGUAGUUGAACAAGCAGAUAUUCAUGUUUAUAUCAGUAGCAAGAUGUUUCUUGGCUGCUGUUCUGAAUCCUAUAAUGUGUUUCAUUACACUGGCUUCAGUGGGGCUUAAAUAAACCAAAAAUGCUGCAAAUUUCACCCCAAAAUAAUAAUAGAAAAAUGGAACAUUAACUCUUCCUCUCCCACCAGCAGCAAAAAUCUGUGUUCAGGCCUUUUCGCUCUUGUAAUUUGACAUGACUUAAUCCAUAGCUGUUUAAAAAUGUAUUUUAGACAAAAAUCAAACACUUGUGUGCAGUGUAUUAUAAGAUUAUCUUAAUUAACUUAGUUACAGAACCAAUGGUAAAUCUAUAAUUUAUUAAAAGAAACAUUAAUACAGGAUCAUUGAUUUAACUGUCUGGGACAAAUCUCACAGUAGUCAGUUGGAGGAGUUACUUAUGAAAGAUGCAAUAGGUUUUUGAAAACUAGAGAAGGAUGUUCUGCAAAACAAAGUUAUUUAGUUCUGUGAUAUCAUCUCAUUGAAUUGUCUUCAGUAUUUGUAUUUUUAGAGUCUUUUCUCUCUUUUCUUUAUUGUUGUCAACUUAUGACACUUUUUGAUUGUAUGGUGUACUUUGUAUGAAUGGAUUUGGCAACUGAUUGUGCUCUAUUAGAUUGUAGGGUGCAACAGAUUUGCUUCCACUUAGAUGAUUUUUGAGUGCCUCUGCUUUCCUUUGACGCAGGCAUGAUGAUUUAUGUGUGUCGCUUGGCGUGUUGUUGUAUUCAGGCAAUAGUUCUAUUAGCAGUAAUAGGGAGUAGAUUAUAAGAUGUUGGGUAACAUUUUGAAAGCUGACACAGUUUGGAAAAGUGUUGUUGUUGUUCUGUCUGCACAACGUUUACUUAACUAAACAGAAUGAUGAGUUGCUCUGUUGGAUCUGACUGCUGUGUUUCUAUAACAACCAUAAUAGCCUGUCUUAUCCUUAGCCUUGAUCAAGCAGUGUUGAAAAUGAGACAUCCUCUGCCAUUUGAUUGAUGGGCAGUAUUAAUUUGCCUUUUUAAACACUGUGAGUAUAAUAAACAAAUUAAGGAGUCUUUAUGAAUAAGUUGCACUUUUGGGACAUUCUUUUAUAUGAUGCACAAGUUGACAAGUAUGACUGUACGUAAGUUUGUGUUGAUUGUGGCAUAAUAUGAGCAUUCCCUGUGAUCUAGCUUUGUAAUGCCUCAUUGUUUGAAAUUGCAAGGGUGGAAAAUGUAUGUCUAAACAACAGCAACUAAAGAGAAUAUAUUUUGACAUGUAGGACUAGAUGAGAUGAGGUGCUAGUGGGCACAACUGCUGAUGAGUCUGGGUGGCAUGGUCUUGAUGCCCUUACCAGUGGCCACAUUUGUGAUAAUGUAGAGAUCUUGCUUACACUGUAACAGUAAAUCUGUAUUUUAAGAUUUGAACUUUACAUGUACUGUUUGUCAGCAAUAACCAAGUACAAAGUGAGGCUUCUAAGAACUUUUGGUUGUCUUCUUGACCAUAGCAGCUGAGUGUCAAAAAAGUCUUACAUACUUUUCACCAUAUUCUGGAGGCUUUCCCCAUGUUUUAGAUGGUUUAACUAUAAAAGUCAGCUCUCCCAUAAUCCACCCAGAGAUGUAGAGAGAGAUUUCACAAUGUUUUGCCCCUUCUGGGCUCUUUUAGAUCCAUAUGAGCAUCCUCUCCCCCCCCCCCCCCCCCCGAUGGAAAUGGCAUGAAAGAUGGAGAGAGAGUUUUGAUAAAAAAAGGACAAGAGUUUAAAAUCGAAGGCUCUUGGACACCACAAAAACAUGCUAGGAGGGUACAUGUGACUUUUGCAGACCAUACUUUCCCCAGUUGGUAAUGCCAGAACUAGCACUACGAAUUUUUCCUAAGAUGAGUUCUAUCCAUCCAUGGUUACCAUUUUCCCUCAUGUUUUUGUGGCCUGAUUUUUGAGCUACAUGUAGCAUGAAAUUAGCUUUUAAUUGAUCUGAACUAGUAUUGAUUUUUAUAAAUUCCUAGUGAGAGAGAAGAAAGGAGGUUGAAAGCAAAUGAAUACUGAAAGCUGUAAAUGCUGUUCCUAGUAGUAGGUUUAACUGUGUUUUAUCAGAGUAAGUACCCAAGCCAGCCAUACAUAAAUGGUCUUUUGUACAAAUGUAUUUGGGAGUAAAUCCCACUGAACAGAAUGAGUCUUAUUAUGUGCAUAAACACACAAGAUUAUAAAUAAGGUGUACUACUAGCUGUAUUUCUUAGCAUAUUUUUUAAAAGAUGUUACCAUUUUGUAUUUUUAAAAGAAGUGCCUAGUUUUUGUUAAUUUUAACCAAUUCAGCUGUGAAGAAAGGUGAGUAGUAGUGCUGAACGAUAAACAUUCUCCUCUGUAUUUUUAUUCAUAUGCAGAAUGUAGACAUUUCAAGACCUCCUGAGGAAGCCCUUGUAACUGUCCCCGCUCACCAGUGAAUCCCGUAUCCUGAUCAGCAAUGAAACAUUUGAAUGUAUGCAUUAGCCGCUCUCGGGAAGAAGCCUUGAGGACUGUACCUAAUCACUUGUAACUCUCUUGACUUGUUGCCAACACCGUCCCAAACUGCUGAAGUAGUUGAAAGGAAACCACUCAGGGACAUGAGAAUGAAGAAAGCCAAGCAACACUGAAACACACACACUCCUCCUUUAGAAUGUGUUUUAACUACCAAGGACAAGGGUCAGACUUGGCAGCAAAGGCUGGAGCAUACCAAGUAUUUAGAGGAUAUAGAGUGAAAUUACUUUUAAAUUAAUAUAUGUUGUCUUAUGUUGUCUUUAUCCUAUUGUUCCUUGCUUGUGGAUGUUAAAGUUUAUGAAAUGCUGUUAUCAUUUUUAAUGUAAAGUUUUAAAUUCAGCAAUCUUCUAAAAUCUUUUCUUAAGCUAUUUUUCCUGUAAAAAACCGUCUGGCUCUAGACUUUCUGUACUACUACUUCUUUAUUAUUUUAUUCAAAUAUUAUAAAAUACUACCAAACAGAGGAUAAGUAUUUCUAAGUAACUGAGGGUUUUCAAAAUAUUUAUUCCACUGUACAAGAAGGGAUAUCAAUUCCUGCAAGAACCCAUUCUACUUAAAUUCAUUAAUCCUGUUAAUACAGGUUGAUUAUCCCUUAUCUGAAAAUCCAAAAUCCAAAACAUUUUUCAUGAGUGACUCAUCUAAUGGCACCUUUGCUUUCUGAUGCUUCACUGUACACAAACUUUGUUUCAUACAUAAAAUUAUUAAAAUAUUGUAUAAAAUUACUUUCAGGCUAUAGGUGUAUAUUAUGUAUAUGAAACAUAAAUAAGUUUUGUAAUUAGACUUAAAUUCCAUAUCCAUGGUAUCUCAUUAUGUAUAUGCAAAUAUUUUAAAAUCUGAAAAAAUCUGAAAUCCGUAACACUUCUACUCCCAUGCAUUUUGGAUAAGGAAUAUUCAACCUUUAUAUCAAUUUCAGCAACAAAUGUUUUCUUAUCCUGUCAGUGCUAUACACUAGUCUAUUAAAUUGCCAUUUUUCCUGGGUGCUUAUACUCUACUAAUUGGAAUGUCUAAUUUCUUUUCCUUUUUCUUUAAAGACUCCACCUGAUAUCCCGAAGCCUCUAGCCAGAAUUUUCUUUUAGGUAUAUUCUACCUUGUUGAAUUAUUUUUAAAUCCCUUCCAUUAAUAUUUUAAAAAUACUUUUUGGUAGAGGACAUGGACAUUCCACAAGAUAAAACCAUAUUGUGAGCACUUUUUAUUUAAAAAAAGAACAUUGUAUUUAAUUUUGUUUUGGUCUCUCAACAUUUAUUAAACACAAAAACAAACUCCAAACAGGUACCAGUUAAAUUUAUGGGAAGAGAGGCUUAUAAAUAAUGCCAUCUUAAAAGAAACAAAUAACAAGGCAAUAAAAUGAGAACAUGAUAAACAGCACUGUUAGGGGCAAGGUCCAAGACAAAUCAUGAAAAACACAAAUGAGUCUAAAGUGGUAGCAUUAUUAGCAUUAUGUGAAUUUACUUUUUUUCUUGAACCAAAGUCAUAUAUAAAAUGUUGCCUCUUUGUUUUUAAAUUGUAUAUUAAUAAUAAUCUGAAGUGUAUAGUUGUUUUGUUAGCCAAAUUGCAUUAGCAAGGUGAACUGAAAGGGAUUACUGUAUUUAGUGUUUCUGUUUUAUUAAUAAGUAAUUCUUUCUCCAAAAGCACAAGAUAUAUAGAAGUCUUAUGAAAGAUUCUUCCAUUCCACAAGAAGGACUGUUGAGUACUUUCUUUCUGAACCUUUGAUUCCACAUCUCAUCCUCCAGGUGUUGCAGAAGAGAAAGGAAACACACUGGCAAAUGUAGCUGUAUAGGUUUCCCAGUACUCAUGUGCAUAGCACCUUGCAAUCUUGUUUGUAAAUUUGUGAAAUAUUACUCAUACUGUUUGGGGUGCACAGUCCUCUAAGCAGAUGUCCACGUAUUGAAAUGAGUGGAAUGAUAAAACCUUGUGCGUAUUAAAUUUUCAUUUAUAUAUGUUGAACAAGACUGAUAUAUUUUGUCAGUAAUUUUUGAUGUGACAGAAUUUGGCAAGCAGUAGAUGAGGCUCAGAAUUCUGUUGGUAUACAAUGCCAGUGUAGGUGUGACAGCAGAAGGAAAAGGCUGUAGACAUGGAGGAGAAGAAACAGGUUUCUGCGAACUGGCUGAUUGUGUCUGUUUUUCCUUGCCACCUAUGUGACCCUGAAAAAAAAUGCAACCACAAAAUGUAGUGCAUCAACAGGGUCCCAGUCUUUCACACUACCUAUUUGUAGCAUUAUGGGUACAUUUUAACUGCCAUGCUGCAUUCUUUGGAGUCCUGGGGUUGAUAAUUUUGGGGAGGUGCUAGAACGUUCUGGCUGAGAAUUCUCCAGCUCUCUCCAUAAACUGCAAAUCCCAGGAUUACUCAGGACAUUACCAAGGCAGUUAAGGAGAAUCAUAGCACUAUAACUGUAUAGUGUGAAGGGUCCUGUGAAUGAAAUGAAGACAGCUUUGUCCUCUGCAGUUAGUACAUUUUUUUAAUGCACUAUGUUGAUCACUUACUGACUCUUGGCAUGCUGUUAGUGUCAGAUUUACACACAAUGCGCCAUAUUAAGUUUGCAGGUUGGGGCUCAACUGUAGCUGGGUGCUGUAAUACAACCUGCCGCUGUGUUGUGUGUUUCUUUAGCAAGCUGUAUUUCAUAAUAAUUUUUCUGUGUUCAGCAAAUAAGCCAUAAAACCAGUAUCAUUUCAGGAAAAAAAAAGAUUGUAUUAAACUGUCAAAUACUGAAAGUGCUUUAACUGCAUUCCAUCUUGUCAGAUAAUAUGUAUUUAAUUUGUUUAUUUAUUCAAGUAGCUCCUUUGUUACAGGAGUAGAUGAAAUCAGAAAGUAAAGCUCUUGAACCCCAGCAAAAAAUUAAAUGCUGUGCAACAGCAUCCCCAACUUAAUUCAUAGAAUCCUAGACUUGGAAGAGACUGCAAGGGCCAUCAAGUCCAACCUCCUGCCAUGCAGGAACACACAAUGAAAGCACUCCAAACAGAUGGCCACACAGCCUCUUGAAAAACAUUCAAAGAAGGAGACUGCACCACUCCUUGGCACGUUUUCCACUGUCAAAUAAUUCUUACUGUCAGGAAGUUCUUCCUUAUAUUGAGGUGGAAUCUCUUUUCUUGUGUAUUCAUAGAUUCCCCAGUCAAGAGACAUACCCUAACGUCUCUGAAUGUAAGCCAGGGGAUAUGAAGGAUUUUGCAGUUUAGUGCAUGCUUAAUUUAAUCCAUAAAAGAUGAGGCUGGAAUCCUAUUAGUGAAUAUACAUAUCACAUGGAUGUGUCUGGUUUUCACUGUUGUGGAAGGAGUAACUUACAUGCUCCUUGCACAACAUUUAGCCUCCCUUUUCAGCUGUUCUAUUGUGGCCCUUUACUGGCCAGGAAAGAGGAACAAAGAAGUCAUGCUCCAUGUGGGAAUUCUAGCUAGGAUGGGCACAGUUUGAUCACCACACCUCGCCCCCCCUUUCUCCAGGGCUGGUACAGCUGCCUCCUGGAGGAGACAUGGUGCUGCACAUGCCGAGCAUUUCUGCACACUUUGCCUGUGUGUUUUCAGAAGAAAAAAAGGGAAGGAAUAACUGUGUAGUAAAUGUGGGCCUGAUAAGAAAACGCUCUGUUUUCAAUUAGUUGAGGCUUGUCUUCAGUGGUGGGCAUAACAUUUUCUUUCAAUCUUUCCAAAACGAGAAGUAAAUGUUUGUUUUCCUUAUUUCCUGGCCUCCAUAUUUCUUAGUGUGCUGUAAAAUUCUGUGGCUAAAUAUUUAAUGUAUAGUAGAUAUUUUUAUAAUAUAAAUAAACUAUGACAGCAGUGUUUCUUUUAUGACUAUAUAAUUGAAAAAGAGUAUCCGACCCAUUGUAUGCAAGUCUGAAUUAUACAUUUAUGUUGAUACUUGAAAAUGAAAAAGUUAGGAAGCUCUGACUGAAGAUUAAGCUGCGCUUUUAAACACACAACUUGGAAGUAAGCCCCCUUUGAAACUAAUAAUUGGACUUGCUUCCAAGUUAAAUAAGUUUCAAUUUGGAAUGUUCCAUUUUUUGUGUUUGUCAUCAGCUCCAUAUGGUGCUCCCCCUGUGGCUGUCUUCAGAAAACUUACAUCUGAACAGGACUGCUUUACAUAUAAAAGCAAAGGGAAAAUGCAAGAUAAAUGCAAAGGGUAAAUAUAAGAAAGGUAUAAAACCAUAUGGUGCAUUCAUCAGAGAAGUUUGGUUAGCAGUGAUUUCCUGUUACAUGUACACUUGAGAGCAAAUCUGGAUUUGCAAUUGUAUAAUGUGUGAAUGACCUUUGGGGAAGAGCACUGUGGAGUUCAAAAUGUUAUGAAAAUUGCUUCCUCCUGUAUGGUGGACCAAAAUGAUUUUGAGUGAGAUUUUAGUUCAGAUGUGACUGUUAAAUUUAUGUGCUAGUUCUAAUGCAAUAUUUUGUUGUACUGGGCGUUCAAUUUAGUAUUUUAAGAGAGAUGUGAAUUUUAUGUACCCUAAGCUCCAAAAUAAUAAAUAUCCAAUUUUAAAUUGUCA